AAUGAACGCUGGCGGCGUGCUUAACACAUGCAAGUCGUACGAGAAAUCCUCUGCUUGCAGGGGAGAGUAAAGUGGCGCACGGGUGAGUAACGCGUGGGUAAUCUACCCUUUAGUUGGGAACAACUCAUCGAAAGGUGGGCUAAUACCGAAUAACACUGUGAGACUUUGGUCGAACAGUCAAAGAGAGCCUCUGCUUGCACGCCCUCGCUGAAGGAUGAGUCCGCGUACCAUUAGCUUGUUGGUAGGGUAAUGGCCUACCAAGGCGACGAUGGUUAGCUGGUCUGAGAGGAUGAUCAGCCACACUGGAACUGAGACACGGUCCAGACUCCUACGGGAGGCAG
rnacentral:rRNA from 1 species